rnacentral:piRNA from 1 species
UUAAUUAUGCGACUCAUUUUG